rnacentral:rRNA from 1 species
CCCUUAGAUGUUCUGGGCCGCACGCGUGCUACACUGAGUGGAUCAGCGGGUCAGGUUGCGCGAAAGUGUUUCCUAAUCUUGAAAUCCGCUCGUGAUGGGGAUUGACGGUUGCAAUUUUCCGUCAUGAACGAGGAAUACCUUGUAAGCGCGGGUCAUCAUCCCGCGCUGAAUACGUCCCUGCCCUUUGUACACACCGCCCGUCGCUCCUACCGAUUGAGUGGUCCGGUGAGGCUUUGGGAUCUGAGCAAAGAGAGCGUUUCGCUCGUUUUGCCCGGAAAACUCAGUCGAACCUUAUCAUUUAGAGGUAGGAGAAGUCGUAACA